rnacentral:rRNA from 1 species
AGUGAACGCUGGCGGUAGGCCUAACACAUGCAAGUCGAACGGCAGCACAGUAAGAGCUUGCUCUUACGGGUGGCGAGUGGCGGACGGGUGAGGAAUACAUCGGAAUCCACUUUUUCGUGGGGGAUUACGGAGGGAAACUUACGCUAAUACCUCAUACGACCUACGGGUGAAAGCAGGGGAUCUUCGGAUCUUACGCGAUUGCAUGAGCCGAUGACGGAUUAGCUAGUUGGCGGGGUAAAGGCCCACCAAGGCGACGAUCCGUAGCUGGUCUGAGAGGAUGAUCAGCCACACUGGAACUGAGACAAGGUCCAGACUCCUACGGGAGGCAGCAGUAGGGAAUAUUGGACAAGGGGCGCAAGCCUGACCCAGCAAUACCGCGUGGGUGAAGAAGGCCUUCGGGUUGUAAAGCCCUUUUGUUGGGAAAGAAAAGCAGCAGGUUAAUACCCCGCUGUUCUGACGGUACCCAAAGAAUAAGCACCGGCUAACUUCGUG